UACGUAGGGCGCAAGCGUUGUCCGGAAUUAUUGGGCGUAAAGAGCUCGUAGGCGGCUUGUCACGUCGGAUGUGAAAGCCCGGGGCUUAACUGGGGAGGGUCAUUCGAUACUGUUCGACUCGAAGGCAGGAGAGGGAAGUGGAAUUCCCGGUGUAGUGGUGAAAUGCGUAGAUAUCGGGAGGAACACCAGUGGCGAAGGCGACUUCCUGGCCUGUUCUUGACGCUGAGGCGCGAAAGCUAGGGGAGCAAACGGG
rnacentral:rRNA from 1 species